rnacentral:rRNA from 1 species
UAGGGAAUCUUCGGCAAUGGGGUGAACCCUGACCGAGCAACGCCGCGUGAGUGAAGAAGGUUUUCGGAUCGUAAAGCUCUGUUGUUAAGGAAGAACGAGUGUGAGAAUGGAAAGUUCAUACUGUGACGGUACUUAACCAGAAAGGGACGGCUAACUACGUGCCAGCAGCCGCGGUAAUACGUAGGUCCCGAGCGUUGUCCGGAUUUAUUGGGCGUAAAGCGAGCGCAGGCGGUUAGAAAAGUCUGAAGUGAAAGGCAGUGGCUCAACCAUUGUAGGCUUUGGAAACUGUUUAACUUGAGUGCAGAAGGGGAGAGUGGAAUUCCAUGUGUAGCGGUGAAAUGCGUAGAUAUAUGGAGGAACACCGGUGGCGAAAGCGGCUCUCUGGUCUGUAACUGACGCUGAGGCUCGAAAGCGUGGGGAGCGAACAGG